rnacentral:rRNA from 1 species
GUUCUUUAAAUGAGGACUAGUAUGAAUGGCACCACGAAGGUUAUACUGUCUCCUUUCUUUAAUCAGUGAAACUAAUCUCCCCGUGAAGAAGCGGGGAUGUAACUAUAAGACGAGAAGACCCUAUGGAGCUUUAAACAUAAGUAACAAUUGCCCACCACAACAUCAAUCCACGGAUAUUAACCACAACAUUUAGGCAUCUUGAUUACAAGUUUUAGGUUGGGGUGACCGCGGAGCAAAAAAUAACCUCCGCAGUGAAUGGAACUUAUUUCCUAAACCCAGGGCUACGACCCUAAGAAUCAAUAAAUUGACACUAAUUGACCCAAUAUUUUGAUCAAUGAACCAAGUUACCCUAGGGAUAACAGCGCAAUCCACUUCAAGAGCCCCUAUCGACAAGUGG